CGCCAUUUAAAGUGGUACGCGAGCUGGGUUUAGAACGUCGUGAGACAGUUCGGUCCCUAUCUGCCGUGGGCGCUGGAGAACUGAGGGGGGCUGCUCCUAGUACGAGAGGACCGGAGUGGACGCAUCACUGGUGUUCGGGUUGUCAUGCCAAUGGCACUGCCCGGUAGCUAAAUGCGGAAGAGAUAAGUGCUGAAAGCAUCUAAGCACGAAACUUGCCCCGAGAUGAGUUCUCCCUGAGACUACAAGUCUCCUGAAGGAACGUUGAAGACGACGACGUUGAUAGGCCGGGUGUGUAAGCGCAGCGAUGCGUUGAGCUAACCGGUACUAAUGAACCGUGAGGCUUAACCUUACA
rnacentral:rRNA from 1 species